UGAAAAACCGGUUCCCGUACGAUCAGCGAAGUUAAGCAACGUCGAGCCUGAUCAGUAAUUAGAGGGGUAACCGCCUGGGAAUACUAGGUAUUGUAA